AGCAUGAUCUUCUGGAGCGUGGAAAAUAAACGACGCAUAGGUCGAGCUCAGACGUACAGACAUACAUUUAAACUUAUGGCUCCCUUAAAUAUCAACUGUAACCAUUUCACCUUCACCAUAGAUUCAAUUGGUCACGUGAUAUACGUUCUGACAGAUGACAGGAGGCUGAGACUGAUCAGAUACAUACAUGCAUCGACACCCCCAACCGGGUCAACUGUCCUCACAGUUCUCAGUUUCAAGGGGCCAAUUACAAAGCUAUUGUUUUCAAUGAACACAAUUCAUCUGAUCUGGCCCUACAAAAAUGACGUGGUGUCUUUUGACGUCCAGGAGAAGCUCGUCUAUCGUAGACGUCUGACUAACCUGCAGAUAUCUCCUCCCAAGCGUGUUAUAACAAUAAUCUCUCAAUGACCAGGAAUGUUUGUUUGUUUCUUGUUUAACGCUGGCGCUCUGUAAAUAAUCGACCAGGCAAUCCAGUGAUUCACAUGAUGAGCAUCGAUCCACGCAAUUGGGAUACGAUGACAUUUAUCAACCAAGUCAGCAAGCCUGACCACCCGAUCUCGUUAUUCGCCUCUUACGACAAGCGUAGUCGCCUAUUAUGGCAAGCGUGGGUUCAUGAAGAUCUAUUCCACCCCGGAUCUUCACGAAAUGGACACACAGCGUUAUUCCAGCUUCAUAACCACCCGAUCCCGUAAGUCGCUUCUCACGACAAGCAUUUGUUGCUGAACCAAAUUCUAACCCGGAUCUUCACGGCUGGAUGGUACUUGAUCCAUGAUUUCAACACCAAGGCCCAAAUGACAGCAGCUAAAACCCUUUGAAUUUAUGUUGUAAGGAGAUACAAAGCCUCUAAUUUAUUUGUAUCUGUGAUUGUGGGUUAACUUAUAUGUUCAUCAAAAUUGAAUAUCAUUGAGGAAAUAAAGAUGAAAUAUGAAAUGCACCGAUAUUAUAUAUGUAUGUGGGCUGUGUAUUUAUUUUAAGUAUCAUGUCAGUUGGUCUGUAGUUUCGAGGAUAUCCUACAACCAUCAGCAUUAAGCUGGGGGAGGGGGGAGGGACACACGGGUGUCCCAGUCGACAAAGGCGCCGAAAUUCGCUGUGCAGAGUUGCAGUCCUUAGGCACGUCAGAAACAUCUGAUCGUGAUUCUCAGAUGGAGACCCCAUUCUUCGAACUGCACUAUGAUAUCC